AGGUAUGGGCGGAUUGGGAAGAAGCCACAUACUGYCACCGAAUAAUUCCUWWGGGAKAAUGGRGRAGAGGGGAAAAGGUUUGGGGUGUUGGUUWYCGAGGACCGGGUAAUGAUAAAAAAGAAWRGUUGGGGGCAUUGAUAUUUAAUUGKCAGAGGUGARAUUCUUGGAUUUAUGAAAGAUCAACUUCUGCGAAAMAWCKGCCRAGGAUGUUUUCAUUAAUCAAGAACGAAAGUUAGGGGAUCGAAGACGAUCAGAUACCGUCGUAGUCUUAACCAUAAACGAUGCCGACCAGCGAUUAGGAGACGUUGAAUACAAAACACCACCAUCGGGCGGCCGUCCUUGGCCGUGCGUGGGCGCGCGCGUGCGGGUGGCGACAUCCGUGCGCGUGCCGUCGGCGUACGGCGGGGACGGUCCCGUCCCGGUUUUUUUUUUGAAUGACUCCCCUAGCAGCUUGKGAGAAG
rnacentral:rRNA from 1 species